GCCCACCAGCUGCCGCCACCGCUUCCGUCUCCUGGUUCACACAGUUUUAACUCAUGGGACACAGUAGGGAGAAUGGGGAGAAGGAGGAAGCAUGAAUCUGGAAGGCUCAUCUGAAGAAUCACAUGAGAUGAAGUAUUUUUCGUGAAGAGUGCACUCUUGGUUGUACUAGGUUGAAUGGAUGUGGAAGCACAAUGGAAACUCUAAAGUACUCUAUAAAAAUAUAACAUAGCAUUAUUACCACAAUAAUUAUCAGGGACAAUUAAAGUGAACCUAGAGUAGGAGGAUCAUGGUGAUCUCUUUUGAGUAUUCACCUGAGUGUAUCUCCCUUAAUUUGUAUUCCUAGAGGGAAGAAUGUGAAGACAUAUUGACUUCAUUCCAUAUUUACAUAUUAUUGAUUGCCACUAGUGUGCAUUGAGUGAAAAUCUUUAUGAAAAAAAAUGGUGCUGUUGCAGCAGACUAUACUGUGGCAGCUUUAUUCACUCUUCUCUGAGGAUUGCAGCCCUUUAACCUUGAGAUAAGAUAAAAAAGUAAAUAUUUCAAGUAAAGAGCCUAAGAUUGCCAUAUUAAAACCAAAAAAAUGCAAUACAUGGAUAUUUAGUUCUGAUACACUGAAUCCAAUUGUAAAAUGACAUCGUCUAGAUAGAGAAAUUUGAAUAUGGACACUGUGUAAGAUGAAAUUAAGCGACUGCUGUUAGUUUUAUUAGAUGUAUUACUAUCACAGUGUUAGGGAAACCAUACAAACAAAGCAUGACCUUAUCAUUCAGAAAUUCAUACCGAAGCAUUUACACAUGAAAUGACAUGGCAUCGGGGAUUUGCUUUAAACCAACCUAGUAAGCAAAUAAAUAAACAAAAUUAGAAAAGGCACUCAUAGAUGAGAGGUGACCCUGGCUAAGCCAUGAUUAUUGUUGAAACUGAGGGCCUUGAUAGGAAGGGGUUCAUUUGCAUAUAUUUAUGUUAGAAAAUUUCUAUAAUAAAAGAACUUCAAAAAUUUCCACAUAGAAGAAUGAAGUAAUCUUGGGGGUGUGGAGGAGUUUCUAGAAUGCUUUUAUGAACAAUGAGUACUUUUGGAAACAUCACAAGCAACUCAUGCCAAGAAGAGGAUUAUUGUACUUCACUCUGGAACCUAUCCCUUUUCUAAGGGUGACUAAGAGAUAAAUCCCAACUUGUGCUCAUAACAGAAUAGUACAGUCAGUUCUCUUUCAAAGAAGGGGGGAAAUUGACAAGAAACUGACAACUGUUCUUCAAUCACCAAAAAUAAUUUGAAAGUCAAGUUUUUCUCAGGGCAUUCCUUGUGAGUUGAUGACUCUGAGAAACGACUGUUAACGGGACUCUGCAGGAUGUUGUGGUUAUCACUGUUGAUGUUUUUUGACGACCAACAAGG